rnacentral:rRNA from 1 species
AUGAUAGGCCUAAGGUGGAACUGCCGAGGAAUCGGCGGCGCCUCGACAGUUCGUGAUCCCACUGCCCUCGUUCAGUGUCAUCAUCCACAGUUUGUGUUUUUGUGUGAAACUCGGCAAAGUGCGAAAAAAUUCAGCCGUCUUCGUUCUCGGUUAGGUCUUCGUGGUUUUUGUGGAAUUGAUAGUGUGGGUCAAAGUGGUGGCCUCGCUCUAUUUUGGAAUGAUCAAUUAUCAGUUGAGAUAAAGGAGAAGAAAGAGAGGUUUAUUGAUGCUCAUAUUCGUGCUUCCUCAACUGAUCCCUUUUGGCAUUUAACUUGUGUGUAUGGUGAACCGCGUACUGAAAACCGUCAUCGGAUGUGGACCAUCUUGUCUGACAUCCGAGCAUCGAGCGACCUUCCGUGGAUGCUCAUGGGAGAUUUUAAUGAAGCUAUGUGGCAGUGCGAACAUUUGUCUGUCACCCCAUGCCCGGCUAGCCAAAUUGCAGCAUUCCGUGAAGUUGUACAAGAUUGUGAGCUCCAUGACCUUGGGUUUGCCGGAGCUCCUUUCACUUAUGAUAAUAGAAGGAGGGGAAGAGCAAACGUGAAAGUGAGGUUGGACCGUGCUCUAGCUGACGAUCAGUGGAGGGACAUUUUCUCAUAUGCUAGUGUGGUCCAUUUGGUUUCUCCAUGUUCGAACCACCUACCGCUACUUGUCCACCUGCAGAAAGAGGAAGUACUACCCCCGAGGCAGCGACCGAGGCAGUAUGAAGUUUUUUGGGAGCGUGCAGGUGAGCUGCCUGAAUUGAUCUAG